rnacentral:rRNA from 1 species
GAGUUUGAUCGUGGCUCAGAUUGAACGCUGGCGGCAGGCCUAACACAUGCAAGUCGAGCGGAUGAAGGGAGCUUGCUCCUGGAUUCAGCGGCGGACGGGUGAGUAAUGCCUAGGAAUCUGCCUGGUAGUGGGGAUAACGUCCGGAAACGGGCGCUAAUACCGCAUACGUCCUGAGGGAGAAAGUGGGGGAGUCUUCGGACCUCACGCUAUCAGACGAGCCUAGGUCGGAUUAGCUAGUUGGUGGGGUAAAGGCCUACCAAGGCGACGAUCCGUAACUGGUCUGAGAGGAUGAUCAGUCACACUGGAACUGAGACACGGUCCAGACUCCUACGGGAGGCAGCAGUGGGGAAUAUUGGACAAUGGGCGAAAGCCUGAUCCAGCCAUGCCGCGUGUGUGAAGAAGGUCUUCGGAUUGUAAAGCACUUUAAGUUGGGAGGAAGGGCAGUAAGUUAAUACCUUGCUGUUUUGACGUUACCAACAGAAUAAGCACCGGCUAACUUCGUGCCAGCCGCCGCCGUAAC